GGGAAUGUGGCUUAGUGGUAGAGUGCUUACCUUGCAAAUAUGAGGCCUUGGGUUCAAUUCCUCAGCACCA
rnacentral:tRNA from 1 species